AUGUCGCUCCCUCACACACAGUGCCACUUCCUCUAUGCUACAACUUUCUCUGUGACAUAUUGUCUUUCUUUUUUUUUUAUUUGAAGAACUAUGUAUCCCUCUUUACACAAACUCUUCCUUCCUGUCUAUAUAAUGCUAAUUCAUGUUAGGCUAGAUUAGAGCAUAAAAAUCUUGGCGCUGUAUGACAGCCAUAUUUUACAAUUGUAAAGAAAGUCAUUGAAUAUUUUGGAUGGAAAACUUACCAACAUUAAAGUGGUUAGUAAUCAUCCGGGAAUGCAGUUCCUUUUUCUCCAUCUCUGGUUACUGAUAUUCAAUACCUAGAAAGGAGUAAUAGAAGACCAGGGUUACCUUUUGUGGUGUUUAUUUUUCUUUCAACUGUCGUUCUAUGAACUUUGGGAC
rnacentral:lncRNA from 1 species